UCUAGUUUAAACUGAGAGCAGAUUGUUAAACAUGCUCAAAUGUAUUUCUAAAGCUGCGCUUGCACGAUGUUGAUGAUGGUUGUAAUCAGCAGGAUGGUUUUGUGCCGUGCCAUCUCUGUUUUUGGACAAGAAGCUGGCAUUUCCUCAAUGAUGGCUGCUUCCUCAAUCCAUCUUCCAGCUGUCACACACAAGAAACUCAUCCAGAAGGCUGGCCUCACACUGACAUGUACUGCGUGGUAUGAACACCAUGCCCGAGUCAUUUCCUCCCAUCGGUUUCAAUCCGUCAAAGACCACCGAACACUCCCUCCUGACCCAGACCCGAGAUAGAAGAGCAGCAGCCGCAUGCAGUGCUUUCAUUCAAGCCAUGUUCAAUCACAUGAUGUUCUCAGUGUUCAGAUAUAAACACAGCGUGUUUUUAUGGGCUGAGAGAGUCAAGGAGAUGCCAGACAGACUGUUAUUCUUUUCUGGCAACUGAUUAGAACAUAAAAUAACAGAAGAAUUUAUUUAUUUAUUUUUUUUGCACAUGCAAUUCUUUAGAAAAGAAGUUGUGCUUUAUCUCAGUCCAGUUCAGUUGCACAGUCUUGUUUUCUCUCACAGAUCAAAACUUUCUUGAAUUAGAAAUAAAAAAUCAUGUCGGCACCAAUAGCCUCGUGGUUAGUGCGCUCACAGCAACCCGAGUUCGAUUCCCGUCUCGAGGUCUUUUGCCGAUCCCACCCCGUCUCUCCUCCCAGUGCUUUCCUGUGGUCUCUCUCUUCUGUCCUAUCUAUAAAAAGCCCAUAAAAAUAUGUAUAUAAAAAAAGAAAUAAAAAUCCUGCGAUCAAGAAAACUGGAAGCACUUUACAAUAAGGAUUCAUUUAUUGACAUUAGUUAACAACAUUAGUUACCAUUAACUAAGAUGAAUGAAUGCUGUAGAAGUGUUGGUCAUUGUUAGUUUAAGGUAAUUUCAAUGUUUACUAAUACAUUUUUAAAACCAAAUUGUAUCUGUUAACAUCAGUUAAUGCACUGUUAAGUAAUAUAAAUAAACAACUAAUAUUGGCAACGGUUAAUAAAUACUACAAGCAUUAUAUAUAUAUAUAUAUAAAUUCAUUCAUUCAUUCAAUGCUGGGUAGAUUACUUACAAAUCAUUACUGAUUCCAAAUUAUAUGACAAUAAUUGUAGUUAUUAAAAUAAAGUAAUGUAUUAUGUUACACAUUUAAAGUAAUAUAAUCGGAGUAAUGUUUUAUUAAUUCUAGAUUACUUGUGUCCUAACUAAAUUUAAUGAAAAGCUAAUAAUUAAUGAAAAUGUGAAAUUUAAAUAAAUCAUUUUAAAAUGGCAAAAAUCGAAAUAAACACUUAGGCCUACUAAAAAAGAUCAAAUAUUGUAUUUGUUUACCUGCGUGUGAAGGUCAGAGAACCACGAACAUGCAAAUAUAAGGUGAAAAAGUUUAGGAACCCCUGCAUGACAUGUUAAUGUGAAUUUGUGCAUUUUAAUGAUAUUGCAAUCAAUAUCAUAUUUGAAAGAUAUUGCAAACUUAUGUUAACAAAUGAGACCUAAGUGUAGCUAUAAAUGUUUUCAUAAACGGUCCUAUAGGUGCAUAUCAUCAUAUGCUUAUCAAAAUGAUGAUUCGUCCGUUUCUAGUCCCACCCACAAUGUUAUGUUUACGACGUAAGGAUAUAAUAGUAAAAUGCCCGCGUUUGUGAAGUUAAAUUUGAAAAUAGCCUAGUGAAACAUAAAUCAGAUCAAUUCUUUAAAAAGUAAAAGUCCUAGCAAUAAAUCCGGACCGUCUACAAAUGAAACCCGACAGCUGGUGUGUUUGAAACAUCAUAUUAGCAUAGGUACAGUGUUUGAUCCGCUAAACAGAUGCGUCCUUUGUGGAAAGAAACAUAUAAACAUUGUGCUAGAUCCUGGUCGCCACAACAAACUGCAUAAUUUGCAGCUGCGCACAUUUCUGCGGUCCUCGAUGCGCGUGAACUGACAGAGACGCUUGAUUAUGAAAUCAUCUGCGAAGCCCCGUUGUUUCACACUGAGGUAAUGCUUUUUAAUAAACUUCCUUUAGUUAACGAUAGUUAAUGCAUUAACUAACAUUGCCAAUUCAUUUGUUACCGUGUUUAUUCAUCUUUGUUAACCUUAGCUCAGGCAAAUGUUAACUUUUUAAAUGUUAAUUUUUAAUUUUAAUAAUGUCCUAUUAGUAAAUUUUGAAAUGAACGUUAACAUAACAAAUUACUAAUGUUAAUGCAUGCUUUAGAUAUACUGUGUAAUGAACCUUGGUGCUGUAUUUUUUGUUGGCAAUUUGACAUGCAGUUUUCAUAUGCUACACAACUGGCCCACCCAGUUUUAUGUAGGCCCACCCACUUAAACAUUUCUGCCUACGCUAGUGGGACAAGGGUAUUAUGUGUUGUAAUUUUAUGCUAUAAUAUUUCAGAAUACUGUAUAUUUAUAGAAUGGCAAAUUUUUCAGAAUAUAGGCUUUUUUAUGAUAUAAAUUUCUAUCAUAUUUUUAAUAUUACAGAAUCACAAAUAUGGCCUACUGUUAGCCAAAACAAUUAUUUUGAGGUUUUCGUGUUUUCUUAUGGCUUCAAUUGUGUUUCAUAAUUGUUUUAUGAUUUAACUGCUGAAAAUACUUUACGUUAUGUAAGUGUUGUUUUCAACGAAUUGACUUUGGCAUUUUAUAGCUACUUUAAAAUAGGUCAGUGUAAUAAAACGUGUGACAACUAGCUCCGGUCUCCACUGUAAUGGAAACUAAUUUCAGAGCCUUUUUUUGUUUUGAUGUCAAAUGAUGUAAUGAAAUGAUUUCACUAGUGCAUCACUAAUGAGUCAGUGUAAGGUGAUUUCGUAAAAUGCGGAGACAUCGUCAUCCUCAUAUUAUUAUUAUUUUUUGAUUUCUUUUUGUUUUUGUAGUAACAUGGCAACCAAGUGUGAUUCUCCACCCAAACACCGCAUCGCAAACUCUGACGCUCUCGGAUGUUAGUCGCUGCUGUCGUUAUUGUGGCUUUGAUACGUAAUCGGCCCGUUACGUAAUUAAAUGGACAACGGUCAUCCACUGUCACUCGUGCUUCAUCACGUUAUGUCCCAACCCCGGGGAAUUCACGCUGAUUUCCUUUUGUUUUCACAUCCCACAGUUCUCCUCGCUGAUGCAUACCGAUGUUUCUGAGCUGUGAUUGAGAACAGAUGUUUCGGCCUCUCGUGGAAAAACACUGAGAUUAUUGUGCUCCAAGAAAACCCCCACAAACACUACUAUUGUGAAACCUGAAUAUGCUUAAACAUUAAUAAAUGCACAUGUCCAGUCACACCGCAUGAGCCGAAUUUCUAAUUUUAUGUCCAGACAUGUCCUCAAAGCAUGCAUCAAAGGUUGCAUUGCCUUUCUUUCCAUUAUUGCUUCUGUUUUUGAUGAUUAGUAGCAAUAAACUCUGAACACAUCACUCUGAAACCAUGAGAUUAAUGCCAGAGUUGUCUAUAAAUGCUCUUGGCUUCUCAAAACAGAACACAAUUGCAAUAAAUUAUUUGAAUGACUAAUAUUGGGAACUUUUUGGUGCUGGCAUCUUUUAUAUUUUUCCCUUAUUUUUGUGCAUUUGAAUAAGCAACUGGGAAAAUUUAGUAGAGUAUGUUCAAAACGCUGGUUGUAAAACAUUUAAAAGCUCUAAACGAGCAAUAUUGGAUGUCAAAACUAAAGAAAAAUUUAAUUGCAUCGAGGCAAGUGAAUUCUUUAUAGUAUUGAUGUUUUUAAUCAGUCCACCCACAGAACUGUGAACAACACUCUCCUGUCUGACAUGCUAUGAAAAUGUCCUGCCAAAAGUUUGUUUGCAUGAUUUUUUUAGAGGUGCAUCUCAUAUAAUCUUGCAUGCUUUUAUAAAAUGCUGACAGCAGCAAUGUGAUGAAAUGUUAAAGGAAUGGUUCACAAUUUAAAUGUGUAUCAAGAUUCUCUGAUAUUGAUGAUAUAUGCUCUUUUUGUAAUAAUAAGAAAGAGAUACUGACUCACUAACACACUAACUGAUUUUUGUAAUUUGAACAGUAUUUUACUGUACUAUGUACAGUAAGAUACUGUAAAAUGUAUAUACAGUAUUUUACUGUAAACUGCAAAGGAUUAUGGGAAAAUAUAUGGUCACUACAGUAAACUACUGUAAAUUUACAGUAGUGAACUUGCCCACGAAAAACUGACCAAUAUGGCAAGGGAGCAAAUUUUGUUUGCUGUUUGGUGGAAGCAGCGGUAAAAGGACAAAAGAGACACAUUGCACUGUUAACUGGACAAAAAGGUUAGUAUGUUAUUUCUGUUUUAUGCAAAACCGAGAUAUUUUAAGAUGUUUUAACUUGUUAACAGCAAACUAACAUUAUUCAUCGUGUCGUUUUUCAUGUCAGGAGUUGGGGACUUUUUUUCUGACUGAUGGCCUGAUAACGCCGCCAUAACGGUGAUAACAUCGACUGUUUGUGGUCUUGUGGUCAUGUCGACUGCAUCGGAGGAGUAUUGGAGUCUUUUCCUGUGAUUGAUGAGGAGAUUUCUCCAAGUAAAAACAGGAUCCUGAAUAUGAGGCAGAAUCAUCGUACAGCCAGCUGUCCGUUUUGCAGAAAUGCAGAAUUAGUAUGUGUAUGUUUUGCCAUGAUACAAAGUGCCCAGGGGACUGUGGUGAUGCCCUUUUUCAGCUAGUUCAUCCUAGAGAUCAAGACUUUUUCAAGAAUUUGUACUUUUAAUAAGAAAAUGUUCAACAAUUAAAAAGAAUAUUAUCAGAGCUAAUGCUCACUAGUUAUUGUGAUUUUUAUGGGGUUGGGGUGGUAAAAAUCAUGGAUUACAGCGCUGUACCACAAUUUGAUUGUUUUUUACAGGUAAAAAAUGUUUAAACUACAUGAAAAUAAACACUACAGCACUGAUACUGUAAAUGAAAAAUACGGUAAAAAUACUGUAAAUGAAAAGAUUCAUUAUUGUACUGUAAUAAUGUCCAGCUGCCAGUAAGUUACUGUAAAAUUUACAGCAACAUUUUUACAGUGCAAGUUUUGGAUUGAUUUGGCAGAUUUUAUAUUUAAUUUAACGAAUAUUAGGCUAAUUAUUGCUUUACUUUAAAGAAUGUUAUCUUGUAUUAUGAAAACAAAAGCAAUAAGGAUCUAGAAUUUAUUGUUAACCUUUUUAUUUCAUUAGCAAAAUGUCACAUACAUAAACAAAAAUUUCUUAAUUCAUCUCCUAUGUUAAUAUUUGUUUUGUUCUGACUUUUUCUUCAAUAAGAAAAGUCUGUGAAAUGUUUAAAAUACUAUGAUACACUCUUCAAUCCCCCUUUGUAAUAUCCUUAUUCGUUAAAAUUGAAUGUGAGCUAUGCCUUUUUGUUUAUUUAUUUUAUUUUAUUUUUGUGUUAUUUGUUUAUAUGUUGUAUUGUUAUUAUUUGAAUGUUACCUUUUUCUGAAAUUAAAUUUUUUUUUUUUUUUUUUUUUAAAUGUGCUUAAGGUUUACUCACCUUUAGGCCAAUCAAGAUUACUUCAUAUUAACUUCUGUUAACU